AGGGAAUCUUCCGCAAUGGGCGAAAGCCUGAUGCAGCAACGCCGCGUGAGUGAAGAAGGUUUUCGGAUUGUAUAGCUCUGUCAUCUGGGACGAUAAUGACGGUACCAGAUGAGGAAGCCACGGCUAACUACGUGCCAGCAGCCGCGGUAAUACGUAGGUGGCAAGCGUUGUCCGGAAUUACUGGGCGUAAAGGGUGCGCAGGCGGACAUUUAAGUGAGAUGUGAAAGACCCGGGCUUAACUUGGGCAGUGCAUUUCAAACUGGAUGUCUGGAGUGCAGGAGAGGAGAACGGAAUUCCUAGUGUAGCGGUGAAAUGCGUAGAGAUUAGGAAGAACACCAGUGGCGAAGGCGGUUCUCUGGACUGUAACUGACGCUGAGGCACGAAAGCGUGGGUAGCAAAC
rnacentral:rRNA from 1 species